AGGAGUUACAAGGGAAAGAUGCAAAUUCGCCUUUCAACUGUGUGGAGGGCUGCAUAUACAUAAAUAUAACACACUUGCUCUUACAGCAAUUCUUACUAAGAGAAGGGAUCCACUCUUCUAGGUGCUGUGCGAAGGCAGAGCUGAAUGACUGUCAACUCUCAGUAAAAUGAGACUGUACGGACUGAGCAGAAAAAAAUGUGUCUUCAGUUGGAGUACUGCUGUUGAAAAGAUGACAUCUUCCUGAAAAAAUCUGAGGGAACCUCAGUGCUAGAAAAUCUCAUCUCAUAGAGAAGGGACUUUGAAAUGGUCUAGAAAGAAGAUUCCAUCUCAGAAGGAAAGAGGUAAAGGUGAACGAUGCAUGAGUGAACAUGUGGACUGGGAAUCAGAUUUGUCAUUAAAACAUUCAUAUUAUGGACCUGCCUUGCUGCAGGACUGGUAGAACAAGUCCAUCUUGCCUCCUAUGGGAAGACUGACUCUAUUGACUCUAAAUACCAAGCAAAAAAAGAAGUGCUGCCAGCAUCACAGACAUUACAGCAUCACAGCUCUUCCUUACCAUUUGGAGGACUGCAGACAUCUACAGAGAACAAGAGAUUUUUAGCAGGUGGUUAUCCACCUUGAAGUAGAUGAAGGUCAAAAUGCUAAGGUUAAAAUGAACACUGUCCAGUUGAUCCUCAUAUGAAGAUGCAGAUAUUAAAUCAGAAAGUAUUAGCACAGGCAAAAUCAUGCCAGUCUAUCUGCAAUUUAAAGCAGAAGUUUUCUAGUGCAUCCCUAAACUUGUUCAUUGACCAGAUAAUCAAAUAUAUAUGUUCUUGAUUCCAAUACCAACUUGUCAUCCUAAAACAAGAUUUGCAUUUACAGGAAAACCUUUUUGCAAGAUAUGAAUAUUAUAUGCCUGACUGGAGCAGAUGAACCCAAGGCAAAAACUGAAGUCUCUACAAAACUUAUACUUCUACACUACACAUGCAGAAACGUUCCAGAAUUCAUUGGUGCAGGAAGCAAAACAUUUUCAUUCUUAUCAGAACUUUUCAAAAUAUCUUUAUGUCCUUUCUGGAUGUUUAGAUUAACUGUUUUAAAUGUUGUUCUUGUUUUCAUUGAAGUUCUUCUUCACGCCUUAGGUCUUAUUAAAAAAAAAAAAAAAUUUAUACUGAUAAGCCACUAGCAAUUACAGUUGUUUAAAAUGGCAUUAGGCAAUUCUGGAAAAUAACAGAUGACAUAUGAACUUUUUAAUGGACUAGCUCUGUAAUUAAUGUGAGUCCAGAUGUGACCUGUAAUUUCCUAAGAAGUUGCUGCGGUCCCUGGAAGAAUUCAAUAAUAGUGAAUUUCCUACCUGCAAAACCACCUCUUCUAGUGUAGAUGGAAACCAACAGAGAAAAGAAUCAGGAAAUGCAAGUAUCUUAGGUUCUAUUAUUUUAUUUUAUUUUUUUAUCUUAGGGAAGAAUGAUUGCUGUUUUCUUUUUAGAUACAUGUGUUUAUUAUACAAAGCCCCUUGAAAGUAUUUUUCUCUAUUUCCUUUGAACUCUUCUUGCAAGGACGUAUGUCUGGUUGUAUGAUGAAUAUCCAGUCUGCUCAUUGUCAAUCAUUUGCUGUGUACCCUGUUUGCCAUCUUCCUUCUUAUUAAGUCCUCUUGAUUAAAAGGUCUUCUUGUGCCUCACUUUUGCUCAUAUGAAAGUCUAAAUGUCUGUAAUUAAUGUUUCUCUAAGCUGCUGACUAAGCCCCUUCCAAUCAGGAAAAAUUCAGAUAUAUUUGAGUUUAGGAGGUGGCUUAGGGGAAUAGUCUGCUGCUGCUGAAGUAUCCAGCUUUCUAAUAAUUCCUCAGCCCAUAUAGCUGGAGUUUCAUUCAUAGGUGAGUUGACGGAGAAAAGUCUUCAGAAACAUCUCCUGAAUCUUCAGUCAUGCUAAAAUAUCACAAAGCCACUGCAUUCAAAAAGGCCUGAGGCAUCUAGAACAGGAAUUGAAUGUCAAUGUCAAAUUCCAACAUGGUGAUUAAGCAAGCAAACUGGCUGGCUGCCAUGUAGCUUUUCUAGCUGUAUGACUCCUUAUUUGAUGGGAAAUUCCAGUAGUUACCUGACUUGUUUCACUGAAGGCCAAUGCAUUCCUGACACUCUGAUGAGUGUGCUCUGAGCAUACCUGAUAUGUGCCAGGAGCUGAUCCCUAACCACCACCACAAUGGAAGGUUUUGGGCUGCUUGCUUUUUUUUUUUUUAAAGCUUCCAGCCACCAUAGCAGCACCACUCAAUUUAAUAUAUGAAGCAGUUCACCCAGGGAAAGGUCUAGAGCUGACAUCUUCCUUCUCAGCCUUGGCCCUGCCCAAGUCCACAGCACCCACCUUUUCAGAGAGCGUUUGCUUCCGAGGCUAGUAUCAGAGUGUGGGAAAGGAGAGGGAACCUGCCCUGUCUUUCUGGUGGAGUUGUGUCAUCAUUGUGCAGGAAGGAAUAACAGAUUUGGGAGGUCAGGAGGAGAGAGUGCAAGGGGAAGCUUGGUUGUGUACUAGAAGUUAGGAAAUUCUUUUCAGAGAAGGAAGUCUGGGCUCUGUUCUCACACCCACAUCUGCUUAGUCAUCUCGUAUGGAAAGUUCACAAUGAGAGAGAAAUCUAGGACCCAUCUCCUAGGUGAGGACCCUAAGUACCGUACUAGAGCUGUGUGCUCUCCUUGGGUCUGUCUUCUCCUGGUGCAGUGUACAGUGGCAAACAGUGGUGCUGUUGCAGGAGGAAGAGAGGAAUAGCUCCACUCUACAGACUGGUGCUGUUUGUUACUCGUUAAAGCUAAGGUUUUCCUACUUCUUGGAGGAGUGUACCAGCUAGUAGACAAUUUAAAAAAAAAAAAAAGCAAAGAAAUAAAGAAGUGGGGAGAUUCUUUUCUGCAUACAUUUUUAAGUGCUACCUGCACUUUAAAAGAGGAAAAAAAUAGCUGUUGUUGUCUUAAAAGGCAGAUUCUGACCUUUUGAUUGGACUUAUGAGAGCAGUCAGGCUCUGGAAAGAGCUGGCAGUUCAGGCUGCAUGUUCUGUUCUCAGUAUUUAUUAGUUUUACUUUCUCAGCAUGCCAUAUUUUUCAGAUCAGUCUAGAGUGUAUAUCGUACUUAGAAAACAUAGUAAAACCGUUCCCAUUUUUGUGUCCCAUGCCUGUCUUUUCCUAUUGACCGCUAUAGCCGUUGGUUAUGCUAGGCUCCUGGAUGCAAACCGGCGGUUCAGAGCCUACGUACCUUACGGUGGGUUCAACACUUCACCUGGGCCAGGGACCUGGCCUUGUGGCCAAAAUCUUUCAAGUCCUUAUUGAAUUUAGCCUCAAGUAUUUUUUCCAGAGGCACAAGUGAGUCUGAGGAGGAGGAGGGGUCUGAAGCCCUACUUUUCACUGUGGGCUGUACAGCUGAUGAAUUUAAUGGCACUAUCUUUUCUGAAAUAAUUUCCACUGUGUUCUUCAAGUGAGGUAUUAUAUUGCAUGGCUCUAUUCAUCAAUGAAAACGGAAUGAUUUUUAUGAAACAAAAUGCUUUGUGCUGGCUGUAAUUACACAUAGAACCUAGAAAUAAGACUAAAAUAUGUCCAUUAUUUACCACCAUUGUCAUUUAAAAAAUGUCAUUAUGAAGUUGACUAAA